UACGUAGGUGGCAAGCGUUAUCCGGAUUUACUGGGUGUAAAGGGCGUGUAGGCGGAAGAGCAAGUCAGACGUGAAAUUCCAGGGCUCAACCCUGGAACUGCGUUUGAAACUGUUCUUCUUGAGUGAUGGAGAGGCAGGCGGAAUUCCGUGUGUAGCGGUGAAAUGCGUAGAUAUACGGAGAAACACCAGUGGCGAAGGCGGCCUGCUGGACAUUAACUGACGCUGAGGCGCGAAAGCGUGGGGAGCAAACAGG
rnacentral:rRNA from 1 species